rnacentral:misc_RNA from 1 species
GAGAAAGAGAGAGAGAGAGCUAGAGCUAUUUACAGAUAAGGUCAAGGAACUUUAAGGUGCCCAGCAUGUCCCAUAGACUUCCAGGAUGAUUCGAGCCUCAGCAGGUGCAAUUUCUCAACAAAUGGUUCCAGAACUUCUGCCUCUUCUUCUGGAGCAAAGGCCAUACAGAUGCUAAGCUCUUGCACUGCCUCUCCAUAUUCCCUAUUAUAGUACAGCAUCAUCCCGUGAUCUCUUCUCCAGGCCCAAUUAUGUGGCUGCAAAAUCAGCAAUCUUUCUGAAGCCAUAAUGGCCAGCCUAAGAUCUCGUGGCCGAAGCAAAGGAACAUUUGAAUUGGAGGUCAUGUUAUGUUUCUCAUCAGCAUUAUGAACAUGUCUAAGUGGAGAAGUUAGCAUUAAUCCAUGAUUUGAUCUUGAAGCACGUUU